rnacentral:rRNA from 1 species
CGUAGGGUGCGAGCGUUGUCCGGAAUUAUUGGGCGUAAAGAGCUUGUAGGCGGUUUGUCGCGUCUGCUGUGAAAAUCCGGGGCUCUACCCCGGACUUGCAGUGGGUACGGGCAGACUAGAGUGUGGUAGGGGAGACUGGAAUUCCUGGUGUAGCGGUGGAAUGCGCAGAUAUCAGGAGGAACACCGAUGGCGAAGGCAGGUCUCUGGGCCACUACUGACGCUGAGAAGCGAAAGCAUGGGGAGCGAACAGGAUUAGAUACCCUGGUAGUCCAUGCCGUAAACGUUGGGAACUAGGUGUGGGUCUCAUUCCACGAGAUCCGUGCCGCAGCUAACGCAUUAAGUUCCCCGCCUGGGGAUACGGCCGCAAGGCUAA